UCGAGGAUCUUUUGCAAUGGGCGAAAGCCUGACAAUGCGACGCCGCGUGAGGGAUGAAGGUUUUCGGAUCGUAAACCUCUGUCAAGAGGGAUGAUGCUUAUUCGGAUCAAUACCCUGAAUAGGUGACAGUACCUCUGAAGGAAGCCACGGCUAACUCCGUGCCAGCAGCCGCGGUAAUACGGAGGUGGCAAGCGUUACUCGGAUUUAUUGGGUGUAAAGGGCGUGUAGGCGGUUGCGCAAGUCGAACGUGAAAUCCCACGGCUUAACCGUGGAACUGCAUUCGAAACUGCGCGACUUGAGUAUGGGAGAGGAAAAUGGAAUUCCCGGUGUAAGGGUGAAAUCUGUGGAUAUCGGGAGGAACACCAGUGGCGAAGGCGAUUUUCUGGCCCAUAACUGACGC
rnacentral:rRNA from 1 species